CUGGCGGCGCAAACUCCCUCUUUUUCCGGCGAGGAGCGACGCGGGCGGCGGCGGGGAGCGUCCGGCGGCGCAAACUCCCUCUGUUUCUGGCGAGGAGCGACACGGGCGGCGGCGCAAACUCUGUUCCCAGGGAGAAACGCCGUCCGCGACGCAGCGAGGGGACGUGACCAGGUAUUGAUGAUCAUUUAGAGAAGAUAGGGAGCUUACACGGGCUCUGCAAGAAAGUCUGAAAAAUGAACAUCCUCUUUGUCAGAAUGUUCUGUUGGGAGGGGUGUUCUCAUAUGUCACUCCAUCAGUUCAAUGACAUUUGGUUGCAGCUAUUUUCCUUUUUUUUCAAUGAAUAACUUAAGGAGAAAAGUAUGUUUUUGGUCCCUCAAGUUCCCACAAAGUAUAGACUUGGUCUAUUAGUAUUGUUUUAUCCUUCUUAUCAUGCUCUGCAAUUGUUACCGAGAAAAUAUGACGACACGUCAACUAUUUCAUGCUGAAACGAGCUCCUAAUGUAUGCAAAUUUCUUACUUUCUCAUGGAUGUUCAUAUUCUUAGGAACAUACAUAUACUAUGGUGCUCUUUGUGUACACUUCUGCACAAUAUGGGAGUGAUCCUUCAUGUUGUAGCACUGACAGUACUGUUAGCCAGUCAGUUUGUUAAGGUUUUUCAGUCUGUUAUUCUUAUC